GGUUUGCAAACAAGCAGAUGCGGACUGGCUCUGUUAGGCGACAGAUAGGCAGGUUCCGCAACGCGAACAGAUAGACAGACAGGCUCCGCAAUGCGGACAGGUAGACAGACAGGCUCCGCAAUGCGGACAGGUAGACAGGCAGAUAGGCAGGCUCUGCAAUACGGGCAGACAGAGCGAGCAAUCAAGCAAGGAAACGAACAAUCUAGGCUUCAAUCAACAAGGCCCAACUAAAAGCCUUCAAACAAAUCAUAAUAGCCCAACGGAUUGUGGGCUCCAUACUUUUUUCUUUUUUCCUUUUUCCUGUUUUCUUUUUCUAUUUUUUCCUUUCUUUUCCUUCUUCUUUCUUCGGUUCCAGUAGCAAAAUAGGCGAAAAACAUGUGCAAACCAACAUUCUGAACCAAGACUCCGAGGUGUGGUUGCAGCUUUCAGGCGAGGAAGCAAGUGACAGUUGCCAGAUUUCAGGCAAUGGGUGGAGGCGUGACUGGGUGGCUUGGCAGCGGGGUGGAUUCGAACGGCAGAUGUGCUGGGUGACGAUGCAGCGGAAGAUGUGCAGCAGGUCAGGGAACAAAGUAUCUGGAGUUGGGGUGGCAGCGGCAAUCGAAAACUGGUGUGGGUAUGGUUGUGGAUCUAGGAUCUAGUAGCGAUUCAGAACAAACCGGAGAGGAACCGACAAGGAACCGAGACAUACAAACAGAGACCAACAAACUGACAUGAACAGAGCAGAAGCAGAUUAAACCCGACGGUUCAAUCCUACUCUGAUAGCAAGUUGAAAUAAACGGACGAACAAACGAAAUAUAAUUAUGAACAUUUUAUUAAACGAGAUUCGCCGAAACGACUAUCACAAACUGACUACAUCUUUACUGACAUAUUGUUCAACGAGCAACAAAACAUCAUAUAUA
rnacentral:lncRNA from 1 species